rnacentral:rRNA from 1 species
UGGGGAAUAUUGCGCAAUGGGGGAAACCCUGACGCAGCCAUGCCGCGUGAGUGAAGAAGGUCUUCGGAUCGUAAAGCUCUUUCAACGGUGAAGAUGAUGACGGUAGCCGUAGAAGAAGCCCCGGCUAACUUCGUGCCAGCAGCCGCGGUAAUACGAAGGGGGCAAGCGUUGUUCGGAAUUACUGGGCGUAAAGGGCGUGUAGGCGGUCUAAUCAGUCAGUGGUGAAAGCCCUGGGCUCAACCCAGGAAUUGCCUUUGAUACUGUUAGACUUGAGUCCGGAAGAGGCGAGUGGAAUACCGAGUGUAGAGGUGAAAUUCGUAGAUAUUCGGUGGAACACCAGUGGCGAAGGCGACUCGCUGGUCCGGUACUGACGCUGAGGUGCGAAAGCGUGGGGAGCAAACAGGAUUAGAUA